CCUACGGGGGGCAGCAGUGGGGAAUAUUGGACAAUGGGGGCAACCCUGAUCCAGCCAUGCCGCGUGUGUGAAGAAGGCCCUCGGGUUGUAAAGCACUUUCAGUGAGGAAGAACGCCUGGUGGUUAAUACCCAUCAGGAAAGACAUCACUCACAGAAGAAGCACCGGCUAACUCCGUGCCAGCAGCCGCGGUAAUACGGAGGGUGCGAGCGUUAAUCGGAAUUACUGGGCGUAAAGCGCGCGUAGGUGGCUUGAUAAGCCGGUUGUGAAAGCCCCGGGCUCAACCUGGGAACGGCAUCCGGAACUGUCAAGCUAGAGUGCAGGAGAGGAAGGUAGAAUUCCCGGUGUAGCGGUGAAAUGCGUAGAGAUCGGGAGGAAUACCAGUGUCGAAGGCGGCCUUCUGGACUGACACUGACACUGAGGUGCGAAAGCGUGGGUAGCAAACAGGAUUAGAUACCCCGGUAGUC
rnacentral:rRNA from 1 species